AAAUUGAAGAGUUUGAUCAUGGCUCAGAUUGAACGCUGGUGGCAGGCCUAACACAUGCAAGUCGAACGGUAACAGGAAGCAGCUUGCUGUUUCGCUGACGAGUGGCGGACGGGUGAGUAAUGUCUGGGAAACUGCCUGAUGGAGGGGGAUAACUACUGGAAACGGUAGCUAAUACCGCAUAACGUCGCAAGACCAAAGAGGGGGACCUUCGGGCCUCUUGCCAUCGGAUGUGCCCAGAUGGGAUUAGCUAGUAGGUGGGGUA
rnacentral:rRNA from 1 species